UUUGGAACAAAGGUAUUAAAGGUGAUUUUUUUUUUUUUUUUUUUUUUUUGGUCUUUUUGCCAUUUCCUGGGCCGCUCCUGUGGCAUAUGGAGGUUCCUAGGCUAGGGGUUGAAUCGGAGCUGUAGCCACCGGCCCACGCCAGAUCCUUAACCCACUGAGCAAGGCCAGGGAUCGAACCCGCAACCUCAUGGUUCCUAGUCGCAUUUGUUAACCACUGAGCCACGAUGGGAACUCCGCCAAGUGCGUCUUGAUCCAUUCUUCUGAGCAUGCCUCUUAUGAUGCUAGGAAGGUCUAACUCUGAAUUAUGUUUGAUAUUCAGGGGAGAACAAUCUGGCAGUGAGCUGACUUCUACCAAAGCAACCUGGAUCAGGAAGCUGGUGGAGGAGAGCCUGGAACCCCUUUGCGUUUUGCCCUCCACCCCAUCAGUCGGAAUCCUGAUCCACUCCCAUUUGACGUCACCUCCCUUCAGGAGGGCAGAAGCUUGACAUGCUCCCCCAAGAAUCUACUCCAGUGCUGCUAAGACUUCAGUGAACCUCAGUCACCCUGAUGGCUUCCUAAAAUGCUGAUUCCCAGGCCCCAUUCCCCCCCCGAGUCUGCAUCCAUCAGUAUGGAUGUGGGCCGAGGAACUUGCAUUUCUAACACUACCAAGUAACGCUGAUGCUGUGGGUCCAUGGGGCACUCUCAAUAGCACUGAAAUGGUUCACACCUCAAACCUAGGUUUCCAUAGUAACCUCACAAGUCCCAGUGGCUUUCACUCAGGGGCUCUUUUGUCCCCCUAGGGGGCAAUUGGCCAUGUCUGGCACCGGGAACUCGUAGGUAUCCGAAGACAUUUUUGGUUGCCACCACUUGGUGAGUGGAGGUGGGCGCUACUGGCAUCUAGGGUGUAGAAGCCAGGCAGGCUACUAAACAUCUUGUGGUGCACAGGCCAACCCUCCAAACAAAAAUUACCUGGCACAAAAUUUCAAUAGUGUUGAAGCGGCGUAACCGUCCUUUAGUCCAGGGGAUCAACCCAUGGGCCAAAGAUGAACUUGGUGAGUACUUUAGUUUGUCUUCCAGUUUUUUCUAAAAGGCAGCAUAAGUGAAAAGCUGCUCUAUGUCAUCAUGAGGGAAAUGCAAAUUCAAACAGUGAGAGACCUUUACAUACCUAUCAGAAUGGCCAACAUCUGGAACACUUGGCAACACCAUAUGCUGAUGAGGACAUGGAACAACAGGAACUCUCCUUCAUUGCUGGUCAGAAUGCAAAGUGAUACCGCCACUUUGGAAAACACAGUUUGACAGUUUCUGACACAACUAACCACACUCUUAGCAUACAAUGCAGCAAUCCCAUUCUUUGGAAUUUACCCAAAGGAGUUGAAAACUUACGUCUGCGCAAAAACCCGCGCACAAAUGUUUAUUGCAGCUGUAUUUGUAAUUGUCAAAACUGGGACUCACCCAAGAUGUCCUUCAAUAGGUGAAUGGAUAAACAAAGUGUAGUGCCUUCAGACGAAGGGAUGUUAUUCAGCUCUAAAAAGAAAUAAGUUUGGAGUUCCCACCAUGGUGCAAUGGAUGAAAGAUCUGGAGUUGCCACAGCUGUGACCUACGCUGGAUCUGGCAACAGCCGCAGCUCAGAUUUGAUCCCUGGCCUAGGAACUUCCAUAUGCCAUGGAUGCGGCCAAAAAAAUUUUUUUUAAAUAAAUAAAAAGAUAAAAAGAAAUAAGUUCUCA
rnacentral:lncRNA from 1 species